rnacentral:rRNA from 1 species
AUGUGCGGGAUGCAGGGCCUGCAGUUCGACGGCGGGCUACCCCUGUGGACGCACGGGCACGCCAACCAUGCCGCCCGCAACGAGGCCGCCAUAUCGAUCCUGAAGCAAUGCACCGCCGCGAACCGCCUUAGCCUGCACCUACAUGUGCCCAGUUAUAUGAGGGAUGCCCUGGUGGAUGGUACGGGUUCAGGGAUGGCGGAUUGUGAGAGCAUACUAGUGGAUGACAUACCACAGCUGCUUAACAUCACUGCUCUGACAGUCAAUAUCACAACAUGGAAGGGACAUUUGUAUGCUUCCAGUUUGGCAAGGCUCACAAUGCAGCAAUCUUGA